CAUUCACUUCCCUGAUCUCCCGCACGCCGCCGGCCCCGGCCUCCUUCGCACACGCCGCCGCCCCUGCCUCUCCUCCCUCGCGCCUCCGCCCCCUGCCUCUCCUACCCGCCGCCGCAGCGGCACCUCCUCUUGCCCCUUUCACACGCCGCCGCACAGCAGCACGGACGCGGCGAGGGCGCGAGCGGCGCCCCUCGAGCCGUGGAGCCCCGGUCGCCCCCAACCCCCGGUCGCGGCGAGGGCGCGAGUUCGCUGAGGGCAGAGCAAUGUCUCGAAGCCGAUCCUCUGAUUCCCUGCUUCCGGACCCCGGAUCCGAAGCGAGGGAAGGGGAGGGCGCUUCUCGUGGAUCCCCAGCUUCCGGAUCCGUGAGGAGCGAAGGAGAUGCCGCUUAUCACGGACCUCAUAGAUCUGCAGAACAUAGGCCGGGGAAGAGGAAGAUGGAAGAAGGGGGGCAGAUUGCCAUGAGUCUGACAGAACAAGAGGAAGCAGCAGCAGUGCAAAAGAAUCAGCCGGGAAAGGCGUCGGCUGCAAUAGUAGGCCAGGGUUCCAGGUCCUCAGCUGCUGCACCCCGUCUUCGAUACCCGCCAUGCCCGAAGAUUAUCAAGCAUAGGGAUAUGCUAAAGUGGUACAAGGAGUGCGAGAGGAUCAGCGAGAUACUCGAUAAAGAUAUUGAUUACGACAUCCCUACCAUGCGCAAGCCCAAGGACCCAUUAACCACCAAAGCCGUACAGAGCUCAAAAGACAAGGAGGUGGUUCUGCGAGCUGCACACAACGUUGUCAUUGUGUCCUACAUUAAGGAUGAUGGACGGAGGGAACCACGAUGUAAUGGCAUCAUCAUUAAAGAAUUGUCUGAUGGUUCUGGGAAGUAUGGUGCUAUGGUUGUGACCUAUUGUGGAGCUGUCUGCACGAGUGGUCGACUACGUGAUCCCUUACCCACGCUAUCUGUUACCGUGCCGCACAAGGAAAUGUGCUUGGAUGCGAAGCUUAUGUACUUCAAUGAUCGUUAUAACAUUGCCCUAUUAUACAUCGAUCUAAACGUCACCUUGGAGCUCCCAUCUAUUGGAUGUCAUCCACAGUAUGGUGAAGAGGUUUUUGUGCUGGCCAGGGACGGAGGUGCAUCCUUGAGGGUUAGGCGUGGAAAUAUCAAAUGGUUAGAAGAAUCAGGUUUUUUAGGUCGUGACCACUAUAUGUUUCUCAGUUCUGCCAUCCCUCAGGGUGGCAAUGGAGGAAUGGUGAUUGACCAUGAUGGGAUAUUCAGAGGGAUGGCAGUACAUUCGAGCCCGCAUCCUGCUGUUAUAUCAAUUUCUAUUAUUGAAAGAUGUAUUGACAUGUUUAUGCGCUUCAAGCAGGUUGCUUGCCCCAUUCUUGGUAUUGAGAUGAGAACAAUAGCGCUGUUGGAUGUCCAGCUUCAUGAGGAUAUCUCUUUCUUUGGCGUCAAAGGUGGUUUCGUUGUAGAUGAGGUUUAUAACCCUGUGGCUGAGGAACUUGGGAUUAAAUCUGGUAAUGUGAUUAUUUCGAUAAAUGGGCUGGAUGCUGUGAGGUUACCUGAGCUGGAAGAAUAUCUUUUAUCACUUGGCUGGGGCUAUUUGAUGGACAAAUCAACUUGCAUGAAAGAAUUCAAGCUUAGAGUUUUUGAUCUCAAAAGCCGUGUGGAAAGAGAUGUCACAGUGCCUGUCAGAUACUAUGAUAAGCCUGAACGGGAUGAAGACUUUGAGUGGAUGGGCUCCUAUGACCUCUCUUAGCGUCAUGGUUUCCGAUGUGGCUGCUGCCGGGGAAUGCUGCUGAGCUUUUGCCGCUGUUGGAGACUUUGUAACCUACCGAAAUUUGUUAAGUUUUUCUGCUCCUAGGUUAAAGAUGCUAUGGGAAGAGACAAGUCUGGAGAGUGGAGUCCAGUUGUCCACACCACUUCCGGUUUGACCUUUCUGCUCAUGUAUGUUGUUUCACCUGUAGGCAACAUAUACUAAAUCGACAAGUAAUUUAUCUAUCACAGUUUAGCAUUUUUCGUUAUUCUGAUUUAGCACUACUGAAAUAUCCACAGCUCUGUUUGUAGGGAGUUUUGUAUCAUUUACAUGAAAAAUAGGAAUGUGUCUCAGCCAAUAAGAUUGUUAAUCAGUAUCAAACCCUUCUCGAAUUUAUUUGUAGGCAAGUUUUAUUAAAUCAUCAAGCAAUUUGUUUGUAUUAGUUUAGCAUUUCUGCAUUCUGAUUCUAGCAUUUUCCCCAUGUUCCUACUGAUCAUUUGUUUAAAAUUUCAUAUAUUCAACUUAUGCUCGAUCAACAGGCAAAUUAAUUAUACUAGCUAAGCAUUCUUGUGCCUUGUAGCUGUUUUCACGUAUUGUGACAAUGUGUGUUUUUUUCUUUGUUGUUUCUACUAAUCACUGCAUGCAAUUACAUGUGUACACCAUCUAUGCCAAAUGAAUAGACAAACUGUUCAUUUUAGUUUAACAAUUUUUUGUUCUAGUUGCACCAAAGCAUAUUAAAAUGGUAACAUCCUUGCGUUUGCUGGUGAUUACUCGAGCUAGAUAAAUCCAUUCCAAGAUACAAAAGAUCUUUAGGAGAGGUAUCAGGUGAAUCAUAUUUCUUGAUCAUAACUUAAAGACUAGCGCAUGGAGUUGGCUAAUUUUAAGAUUAUCUUAUAUGAGUUUGGAGCGGCAUGUUAUGAACAGACUUAUUGAAAGAGCAUAAAGAAAACUCAAGGUACAUGAUCGCUCUUCCUAAAUUAGUGUUCGUGCUUCACUACUUUAUGAAUGUUAUGAUCACCACCUGUUGACCUGCAUGUUAGAUGAUGCUUGUUCUUUAAGCUUAAUGAAUGUGGCAACAUAUUUUUCUCUAGAUAAUAAUAUUAUUUUCAUUUGGCAAUAACAUGGUUUUCAUUAGGCAAUAAUAUUAUUUUUUGUUAGUUAAUGAUGUUGCUUAUAGCCAGGCAAAAGUACUCUCAAUCAUUUGCAGAACUGGAUAUGAUAAACUAAAUCUGCACCAUUAUAUGAUUCGGAUCUACAAGCACAUAUAUUUAACCAGAAUAAUACAUCAUGUUUUCACCCUUCAAUUAUAGGCUUUUUUUUCCUGUUGUUGUGGCAGAUCCUAUAUUUUUAUGAUACAAGCAUCAUUGAUUCUCGAUUAGGCAAUAAUAUAUAUAGGAAUUGGGCAAUACUAUUAUUUCAAAUAGGCAAUAAUACUGUUGUUUCAUUGUUGAGUCAUGGCUUGCUUUCUUGUCCAGUAAAUUGAAUUUUUAGGUCAAUUCAUGUAAUUAGACCUGUCCAGUAGCUUUGCUGGUGUUUUCUGUGGAUGUUGGCAGCUACAACUUGACUUUGUUUAGAGCAAUUGAACAGUGAUGAAUAUCUUUUCUUUUCCAUUUUUCAUUAGGCAAUAACUUGGCUCUAAUUAGGUACUAAUAUAGAAGGAAUUAGACAAUAUUGAUUCCCAAGAAGCAAUGAUAUUGUUCUAUCUAGGCAUAACGGCACACUUCAUUAAGCAAUUUUGUUUGAGUAUCUUACAAUUCAUUUUUUUAGUUGCCUUCAGUACAUAGUUAACAUACGACUACUAAUUGGGGAAUGUAUUUUUGACCUCCACUACAUACAUAGUUGCAUGUCCUCUCUGAUUUUUAUGUUUUGUUCCAUUAUAUUUGCAGGUCACCAGAGUAUUGAACAUGAAUGCAAAUCAGAAGGCAUUUUGAGUACAUUUUUAGCAGUUGGGAGCACAUAUUGAGUACAUUUUAGAAUUUUUAUUCACAUAGUGAGGCAAUGAAAAUUGUAGUGAAAUUAAUAGGUAACUUUGUAGGUCUGAUGCUGCGUGAUGUUUAUACGCUCUUUUAUUUCCAUGAAGGGUUGAUGCUGAACCUUAUGAAUCGCUUGACAAUUUAUCUGUUGCCUGGUAUUUUUUUUGUU